AUUGAAACACCGGUUCCCAUAUGAUAACCAAAGUUAAGCAACAUUGAGCCUGGUCAGUAACUAGAUAGGUGACCACUUGGCAGAAUAUCAGGUGCUA